rfam:Fibrobacter sp. TWH4 genome assembly, contig: Ga0136283_103
GGGGGUGCUUUGGUUUCGACAGGGUUACCGAAGUGUUAGUUGCAAGCCGAGGUCUCAGACGAGGGCACUCGUAAAAAAGUCUGAAAAAAAAUAAGUGCUGACGAAAACUACGCACUCGCUGCCUAAUUAACGGCAACGCCGGGCCUCAUUCCGCUCCCAUCGGGGUGUACGUCCGGACGCAAUAUGGGAUAGGAUUCUCGCAUGCCUGGGGCUAGAGUCCGAGAUUCACUAGGCUGGUCAAAGUCCGCGCCGACCUUCUUGGGCGUAGAUCAGACGAGAACUUAAGUACGAAGGGAACGCUUGUAGGAACGUGCAUGGACGUGAUUUUGGACAGGGGUUCGACUCCCCUCACCUCCAUAA